AGGCUCUUGAACACUGAGGGUUGUUCUGCCACUGAUAAAUGAAGCCAUUGGAAAUAAGCUUGAUAAAACACGUGAUUCUCAAGUCCCAAGUUGUAGAAGAGGACUGACUUUGCCUCAAAGAUCAGGUUCUCCUAAAUGCCUACAACACUCUGGGAAACUUGAGCCUGAAACAAUAAAUCUUUCCUGAAACAGAGUGAUCUGUGAGUGAGGAAACUAAGAAAGAUAAAGAUCAGGUGAACUGUCCAAAUGACACAGCUACCCUGGGGCUGGCAAACUCCAAACACUUUUAACCUUGGUCCUACACACGAGUGGUGCAGCAGGGGAUUGAAGCCAACAGACUUCCAGGGGGAGACAAUGGACGAUUUAGGAUUGCUGCCUCAAAAAAGCGUUCUGAACUUCUUUCUUUGGAGUCACUACUCAGGAGGGAUCACUGACUAUUAAGAUCUGCUCUUCUUCUUUCAUCAGCUCAAGCGAGUUCACUAUAUGUUCACUGUAAUUUAACCAUACCUAAUUAGAGCUGGGAAAAUGGGAGUUUUGCCAUUGUUUUCCAUGGAGCCAGGAUUUCUCCCAGCCUGUUUUUCUGCAUAGAUCUAAUACUCCCUCAGUGGGCUUUAGGUUUUGGUAAUGAUAAUGACAUAGCUCUGUGAUGUCUCUGGAGGAGGAGGGCUGCUAAUUGUCAGCCACGACAAAAGUGUGAUUACUCUUUAAUUGUGUUCUAAUAAAAAGGCAUUAUACGUAUUUCCUCCUAAUUGCCUAAGCACGAGAACUUUACUCUGAAAUAUGUAAGUUUCUUGUGUUGGAAGGCUAUAAUAAAGCAAUUAAUAUGAGAUAUAAUUUUUGUCAUAGCAUAAAGAGCCGCACAAGGCCUGAUCUUCACAAGCACC